rnacentral:lncRNA from 1 species
GUUCUGCUGAGACCUGCAGGGAUGAGGCAAAAUCUCUGUGGGUGAAGAAUCUUCCUAAGGGUGAGGCCAUUCACCCAGAUAAAGACCGGACUCCUCAGACAGGAAACAGGAAGUGGAGACUGGGCUAGCUGGAAGAGACAUUGCAGGCUCCUUUUCCUUGGUCUUUGCUUCAAGAAACCUAAAUGCCUAUGAGUUCACUCCUGAGCAUUGUUGGUUAAAGAUGAUCAUGGUCGUUGGGCAAAACCCGGGCUCUGGACAGAAGGAGACCCCUGAGGGGCAUCACAGGCUAAAGAAAACGCUAAUUGAGGAGGAGAUCACUGAGGAGCUGAGAAGCCUCCAAUCCAUCUGAAGCUGUCCACAGGGCGCAAGCUGGUGAAACCAUAGAAAUACAAAAGGCUCCAAAACAUGUUAAAACACAGCACCGCUGACGUGCAGAAGGGUAUGAAAUGGCCCAGAGGAGGUUCCGAGGUUUGCAGAGGUGUCUUGAAGAUAAAUGCAAUCAUUUGCGUGAUUAUAU